rnacentral:snRNA from 1 species
GUGCUCACUUCAGCAGCACAUGCACUAAAAUGGGAGCAAUAGAAAGAUUUGCAUGGCCCCUGCGCAAGGCAACUUUGUGAAGUGUUUCGUAAUAAA